UGAAAAGAUGGCCAUGUAUGGAGUGACAUAUGUUGUGGCCAUAGACAGCUAUAGUGGCAAGAUUGUGGCCAACUCCAUAAUGCCAGUGAAAAACAACCUGGUUAUCUAUGAUGUGUACAUCAAGUGUACAGGAAUGCUGUUGUGACCUAUGGUCUUUGGGACCAACUGAGGGUGGACCAUGGAGGUGAAUUUAACCUCUCGCUGUACAUGCAGGAAAAACUGUCAGGGUACAGGUUUCGGCAAGACAGGGCUCCAUAUCAGCAGACAGCAUCAACAAGGAACCACAGGAUUGAACGUGUGUGGCCUGAAGUGAAUAACAGAGUCACGUAUCCACUGAAGGCAGCCUUGGUUCACCUGGUGGACCAAGAGCUUUUAGAUAUGGAGGACACCACAGUCCGAUACUGUGUGUCCAACCUGACCUGUCAGGUUGCCGGCAUCGGACUCAAACGGUUCAUUGAAGCUUGGAACUGUCACACGGUUUCAGGUAUAUGAUCUGUUUCAACAGUCAUAUUCCC